UCCCUAGUGGCUCAGAUGGUAAAGAAUUUGCCUGAAAUGCAGGAGACCCGGGUUUGAUCCCUGUUUGGGAA
rnacentral:tRNA from 1 species